rnacentral:rRNA from 1 species
UACGUAGGGUGCAAGCGUUGUCCGGAAUUAUUGGGCGUAAAGAGCUCGUAGGCGGUCUGUCGCGUCGAAUGUGAAAACCCGGGGCUCAACCCCGGGCCUGCAUUCGAUACGGGCAGACUAGAGUUCGGUAGGGGAGUCUGGAAUUCCUGGUGUAGCGGUGAAAUGCGCAGAUAUCAGGAGGAACACCGGUGGCGAAGGCGGGACUCUGGGCCGAUACUGACGCUCAUGCACGAAAGCGUGGGGAGCAAACAGG